CCCUUAGAUGUUCUGGGCCGCACGCGCGCUACAAUGAUGAAUUCAACGAGUUUAUAACCUUGGUUGAAAAGCCUGGGUAAUCUUUUGAACUUUCGUCGUGAUGGGGCUAGACCCUUGCAAUUAUUGGUCUCCAACGAGGAAUUCCUAGUAAACGCAAGUCAUCAGCUUGCAUUGAUUACGUCCCUGCCCUUUGUACACACCGCCCGUCGCACCUACCGAUUGAAUGGUCCGGUGAAAUCUUCGGAUUGAGACUUUGAUUUCUUCACGGAAAACGCUGUUUUAAAAAGUUGAUUAAACCUUACCAUUUAGAGGAAGUAAAAGUCGUAACA
rnacentral:rRNA from 1 species